AAUAUAUGCAUUCCAGAAGAAUUUCCCUCUAGGAGAGAUCUUGUUGUUGGUUAUUUUAUUCAUAAAUUAUCUUAUGAAUGUAUUAUUGCAUCCAGAGGGAGGCAGUAUUUCCACGCAUGAGUUUAGCUAGCCACGGUCGCCAUGACAUCGCCUACAAGCUUGAAUGGUGAUUUCUAUUGGAGCAGUUUUAGCCUUUCUUUGACUUUGUGGCUGUGGCAACGACCCAUCUCUGCAGAUCAAGUCAGCCAAUCACGUUCUCCUUAUCCAAGGCAUUAAACACACACCGCUUUUGAAAGCUGGAGAGGGUUCUCCAUCCGACAAACUGCUAACGUUAUCAGCUCUCCUGUGUCCAGCUCCCCACCAAGCAUGAGCUGAUUCAUUCACCUGUUAGGAGAACCAUCCUACAGCAGUUUGAACUAGACCUGCUGUCACUGUUUAGAAAUUGAGACCAUAUAUAUAUAUAUUUUUUAACCUUUAUUUAACUAGGCAAGUCAGUUAAAGAACAAAUUCUUAUUUUCAUUGACGGCCUAGGAACAGUGGGUUAACUUCCUGUUCAGGGGCAAAACGACAGAUUUGUACUCAGCUCAGGGAUUUGAACGUGUAAUCUUUCGGUUACUAGUCCAACGCUCUAACCACUAGGCUAUCCUGCCUAGUGCAUUUUCCUGUUGUCUUUUUUGUGUGGAUUGUCUUAGUCCUGUGCAUUUCAGAGUUGAAGAACACCAACUACAGAUACACAUCCUUGUUUGAGCAUCUCAAAGACUAUAUUCAAUGUAGAAUCAGUUUAACAGGUAACAAACACAUUGUCCCCAUCAGGAGCACCGGAUUUUGUCAUAGAUGGUAGAGUUAUUUUCUCAGGACCACACAAGCAUUCUGCUAAGGAUCCUUUCAAUACGACUAUGGGGCCGGGGUACACACACCCCUAGAAGAGGAGGAAUACUGAAGCAUGUGUUAUGACAGUUUUACAGUCUCCAUCAGCUUUUGGCAUAGAUGGUAAAGCUCUCAUUUCUGGACUGCAGCAUUGUGCCCUCCACUGCACUUGAUAUACAUUGACUGUUAGGUUACACUAUAUUUAGAUACUAAAAAUACUGCCUGAGAGACACCUUUGCUAUUUGUCUCUGUACUCAAAUGGUGAAAAACUAUUUGUGAUGGUGUUCUUUGUUUGAAUGUAUGUGUAUGGACUGUACAUUAUUAAAAACAUGUCUCACACUUA